rnacentral:rRNA from 1 species
UACGUAGGUGGCAAGCGUUGUCCGGAUUUCUUGGGUUUAAGGGGUGCGUAGGCGGUUAUUUAAGUCAGUGCUGAAAUAUCCCGGCUUAACCGGGAGGGUGGCAUUGAUACUGUAUGACUUGAGUAAAGUUGAGGUUGGCGGAAUUGACGGUGUAGCGGUGAAAUGCUUAGAUAUCGUCAAGAACACCGAUAGUGAAGACAGCUAACUAAGCUUUAACUGACGCUGAGGCACGAAAGUGUGGGGAUCAAACAGG